GCCGGGUGCAGUGGCUCACACCUGUAAUCCCAGCACUUUGGGAGGCUGAGGCAGGAGGAUCACCUGAGGUCAGGAAUUUGGUAUCAGCCUGGCCAACAUGGUGAAACCCUGUCUCUA
rnacentral:SRP_RNA from 1 species